GUCAGCCGCCGCGGGAACACCGGCGGCCCGAGUGGUGAUCGUGAUUAUUGGGUCUAAAGGGUCCGUAGCCGGUUUGGUCAGUCCUCCGGGAAAUCUGAUAGCUCAACUAUUAGGCUUUCGGGGGAUACUGCCAGACUUGGAACCGGGAGAGGUAAGAGGUACUACAGGGGUAGGAGUGAAAUCUUGUAAUCCCUGUGGGACCACCUGUGGCGAAGGCGUCUUACCAGAACGGGUUCGACGGUGAGGGACGAAAGCUGGGGGCACGAACCGGAUUAGAUACCCGGGUAGUCCCAGCCGUAAACGAUGCUCGCUAGGUGUCAGGCAUGGCGCGACCGUGUCUGGUGCCGCAGGGAAGCCGUGAAGCGAGCCACCUGGGAAGUACGGCCGCAAGGCUGAAACUUAAAGGAAUUGGCGGGGGAGCACAACAACGGGUGGAGCCCUGCGGUUUAAUUGGACUCAACGCCGGACAACUCACCGGGGGCGACAGCAAUAUGUAGGCCAAGCUGAAGACUUUGCCUGAAUCGCUGAGAGGAGAGGUGCAUGG
rnacentral:rRNA from 1 species